rnacentral:rRNA from 1 species
GACGAACGCUGGCGGCGUGCUUAACAACAUGCAAGUCGAACGGAAAGGCCCUGCUUUUAUGGGGUGCUCGAGUGGCGAACGGGUGAGUAACACGUGAGUAACCUGCCCUUGACUUUGGGAUAACUUCAGGAAACUGGGGCUAAUACCGGAUAGGAGCUCCUGCUGCAUGGUGGGGGUUGGAAAGUUUCGGCGGUUGGGGAUGGACUCGCGGCUUAUCAGCUUGUUGGUGGGGUAGUGGCUUACCAAGGCUUUGACGGGUAGCCGGCCUGAGAGGGUGACCGGCCACAUUGGGACUGAGAUACGGCCCAGACUCCUACGGGAGGCAGCAGUGGGGAAUAUUGCACAAUGGGCGGAAGCCUGAUGCAGCAACGCCGCGUGCGGGAUGACGGCCUUCGGGUUGUAAACCGCUUUCGCCUGUGACGAAGCGUGAGUGGCGGUAAUGGGUAAAGAAGCACCGGCUAACUACGUGCCAGCAGCCGCGGUGAUACGUAGGGCGCGAGCGUUGUCCGGAUUUAUUGGGCGUAAAGGGCUCGUAGGUGGUUGAUCGCGUCGGAAGUGUAAUCUUGGGGCUUAACCCUGAGCGUGCUUUCGAUACGGGUUGACUUGAGGAAGGUAGGGGAGAAUGGAAUUCCUGGUGGAGCGGUGGAAUGCGCAGAUAUCAGGAGGAACACCAGUGGCGAAGGCGGUUCUCUGGGCCUUUCCUGACGCUGAGGAGCGAAAGCGUGGGGAGCGCAGCUUAGAUACCCUGGUA